UGUGUAGGCGGUUGUUUAAGUUUGGUGUGAAAUCUCCCGGCUCAACUGGGAGGGUGCGCCGAAUACUGAAUGACUAGAGUGCGGGAGAGGAAAGUGGAAUUCCUGGUGUAGCGGUGAAAUGCGUAGAUAUCAGGAGGAACACCGGUGGUGUAGACGGCUUUCUGGACCGUAACUGACGCUGAGACACGAAAGCGUGGGUAGCAAACAGGAUUAGAUACCCUGGUGGUCCACGCCCUAAACGAUGCAUAUUUGGUGUGGGCAGUUCAUUCUGUCCGUGCCGGAGCUAACGCGUUAAAUAUGCCGCCUGGGGAGUACAGUCGCAAGGCUGAA
rnacentral:rRNA from 1 species